ACCCUCCGGUUCUGAGCGCGCCGCCCGCACUCACCUGACCACCGCUCGCUAAGUGUUGUCAGCC
rnacentral:sRNA from 1 species